CGACGGCUCCUCCGACUGACGAUGACACGGAACACACCGAACAGACUCAAGUCACCGACCUCGCCAGGCGGCCGAUAAUCAGGGUUGGCCGAAGGUUGUCCGUCAGCCAUUGUUGGCCCGUCGCUGAGCGUUGUUGCCCUAGUUUUUGCGUUGUGUUCCACACCGUUGGCACAAGUCGGUGUCUUUUUGGCCAAUUGAGCAUGUUGAAUUUGCGACGGAGCCAAUCGGUGAAAGAGAUCACUCUGAUGGCUGUUCAGUUUAAGCGAAUCAGUGCAUGAGAAGAGAAACGGAAGUGAGAAAAACAAGCACGGGCCUGAGA